UAAGUGGAUUGAUGAAGAUGACAUCGUGUCUUAUAUUCUCAUGGGACUUGAUGCUGAAUACAAUCCGCUCGUGCAGGCGGGUAAGUGCUAGACUUGGUGCAGUAAGUUUAAGUGAUAUCUAUGCUCAGUUAUUGUCCACA